GGAGUACUCCCUCCGUCCGGAAAUACUUGUCAUUAAAGUGGAUAAAAAGGACGUAUCUAGAUAUAUUUUAGUUCUAUAUACAUCACUUUUUAUCCAUUUUGAUGAUAAGUAUUUUUGGACGGAGGGAGUAGUGU
rfam:Triticum aestivum genome assembly, contig: Triticum_aestivum_CS42_TGACv1_scaffold_146683_2BS